CCUACGGGUGGCAGCAGUAGGGAAUCUUGCUCAAUGGGGGAAACCCUGACGCAGCAACGCCGCGUGGGGGAUGAAGGUUUUCGGAUUGUAAACUCCUUUUGUUAGAGAAGAUCAUGACGGUAUCUAACGAAUAAGCACCGUCUAACUCCGUGCCAGCAGCCGCGGGAAUACGGAGGGUGCAAGCGUUACUCGGAAUCACUGGGCGUAAAGAGCGCGUAGGCGGGAUAGCAAGUUAGCUGUGAAAUCCUAUGGCUUAAACAUAGAUAUGCAUUUGAAACUGUUAUUCUAGAGUAUGGGAGGGGUAGGUGGAAUUCUUGGUGUAGGGGUAAAAUCCGUAGAGAUCAAGAGGAAUACUCAUUGCGAAGGCGACCUGCUAGAACGUAACUGACGCUGAUGCGCGAAAGCGUGGGGAGCAAACAGGAUUAGAUACCCGGGUAGUC
rnacentral:rRNA from 1 species